CAAAAUAACCAUAUUUAAAAAAUUAACCCCCCCUCAAAAACCACCGCCCCACCCUGAGACGUAAUAAACGAUCGGUCCCUAACCAACUGACUUCUUGAUAAAGGAAAUUUGCUCGCAACGUUUUUUCUAUAUCUUUAGGUUGUUGGAUAACUCACUAUACACAGCGAUUUAUACUUUUGAUCUCAACCAACACUUGCUCACGAUUUUACCACAAGAUUGUCUUAUCCUAUAUAGUGUAUGUGUGUAGUGUUAAUUAGUACUUUUAG